UCUGUCUCCUCCAUCUUUAAAAUCAGCCAUAAUUAGAACUUCUACCUAUCAAAUUUCUCAGGUUGAUCAAAAUGUAAGUGUUCCUGAACUACAGUUGCUAGUUUUUAUCCAAUUUUGAAUAUUUUACUCCGGAAGGGAGAUGAAAUUUUUCUAUUUAUUACAGUAUGGCUGCGAUUUUAAUUGGGCCAAAAUUAGUUGAGCUGCGUUAAUGUACGCAAAAUGUGUUUUAAAAGUUUCUGUUCUUUCGGAAGGUAAAGUUCUCAGGGUGUUCCUCAGGACUUCAGUUCGCUUUCCUGCAACAGGAUACAAGAAACUAAGAAUUGUCAUACUGCAAAUUUUAGUCAACUAGGGGUACGCUCCCUGACUGCUUGAAACCACUUGAAGCACUUUGCGCCUCAGGUGUUACGUGUUACUCUUAAAAUUGUAUACUAUCGAGUAAGAUAUACUUUUCUUGUUAAUCUGCACAAUGCUCCAAGGGAUGACAUGGCUUCUCCAGCAAACUUGACAGAGCUGAGAGUAUUAUGAGUAUGCUGUUAGAGAAAUGUCUAAUCUUUUUACAUUGUAUUUCAGGAGAAACAAAUCUGUAGAAAAAAUUGCUUAGAGCAUAGUGCAGAUCAAUAAAGGAAGCAUACCGAUCAUUCCUUACCUUACCUUCCAUCUUUUUUAUUACCUUCCAUCUUUUUUUAUUAAAGUUUCAGGGUACUCGCAUGAUUAAGGUGAUCGGAGUUGGACUCUAUGGCACGGUAGAUGUUAAAUAUAAUGUCGAGAUUAUUUUGCAAAAAUAUACUGAAACCUCUCACGGAGAAUCUUAUGAAGACAAGCUUAUUCUUACUGAAACACAUUAUUGCUCUGACAAAAUUUUCAGGAUUUUUUUUCCGCAACCAAUUGAGGUGGACUGUAGGGCUUCAUAUUGUCUUCGAGUAAAAAUCAAGGGACAAUAUUCAAUGUAUGGAUCUGGCGGUAUUGAAAAUGAAACAACUAUUACUAAAACAGGUGAUAAUGAAGGGGAAACAGUCACCAUAAGCUUCUACAACAUCGAUAAUGCGGUGAUAAAAGAAUCAGACCGUGGAUUUUUGUCCAACGUUACCUGUGGGCAGAUUCCAGAAUUGCUCUUUGAGCCGUGAAACAUUUAUCAGUACUCGGGUCUGUGUGCAGACUAGCUUUAGUAUUCUUACAUUCUUUAAAGUUUUAUUCAGUUUGUACUUAAUGUUUUAAUGUUAUUGACAAAGGUAUUCUAACUACUGCUGCUGAUUAGCUCAAACUUUUUUUACUGAUUCUCUUAAUGGUUUUAGACACCUGUUCGUUUGUUUUUUUAGACAAGAUUUAAAAGCAAUGCAAAAAGUGGCAGUAACUCAUAUUUUGAGCAGAGCCGCAUGCAUAGAUAAGAACCAGUAGUCUGUAGCAAAGCAAACUGCUAUGUUUGAUAGCAGUGUCCCACCCCAAUAGAGUCACUGACUCAAAGUUUAGUAGUCAAGUUUAAUCCCUGCUGCACAGGUUUUGAUCUUACUGGAAUUCAAUGUAAUAUUCAAUUUAUGAGGUGUCGUAUAAUAUUUGACCAAAUGUGAGACAGACAUAUGAGCAAUUCUCAGCGCGAGAAUCCAACCAUGUAUGCAGGCAAAUAUCAAACCAGGCAUUUUGUCAAGUGCCCAGACAGAGAGUAAAAUAAUCUUUCUUGAAUUUUAAUUUUGUUUUAUUUGCUAAUUUUAGAAUGAAUAAUUACUUACUAGUUUUGAAAAAAUUUACCAUGAAAUGUAAAUCAUACAACGGUAUCUACUAAGAUCUUUUGCCUUGAACUGAGAUUUGUCUCAAAAUUUACAGUCUCAUUAAGUACAGGAUUUUUUCAAGUUUUACAGUUAAAACAUGUGAGGAGCAUCUAGAGAGGAAUAUACAAUGAAAUUUUGUAGAUUUGAUACAUUUUCACUCUAUAAACGUUGAGAACUUGAGAGCUCCUCGUCAAAAACAUCUUAAACUUCGGAAAUGGUAAAAAUUUGACUGUCUACUUGAUAAAAUGCCUGAUCUGACUAAUUUGACUAAUAGCCCCUUUUAACCAGAUUGGUCUGGGUAAGUUGCACUGCUCAAAACUUGAAUUCUUCUAAUUUUAAUGAUUUCUGAGGGCUUAAAAGUAAACACGAAUUUAAUGAAAUUGUUAACGAAACGUCAACAUCAUAUUGUUUAACAAAAGCGAAUGGAGAGCUAAAUUUCAAUAUAGUGGUCUGUUUCAUUCAAGCGAUACAGCCAAGUGAUCUAAUCCACAGGUAAAAUCUUUUGUAUUUCCUGAGGGCACAUCAUUAAAGUCUGCAUUCCCUUCUUUAUGAGCAAUUUUCGCAUCUGUGACAUGCUUUUUCAAAUUUUCCGAGUUUGAGAGUUUUUUUGGCUCUGGCGACCAGGUUUGCCUAGAAGGAGAUGUUUGAAGUCCUUGUCAAAAUAAUAUAAUCUUGCAAACUAUCUCUUGCGUUGAUUUCAAUCGUUUUCAAGCGUUUGUUUGCUCCUUAUUUCUUCGUGUUGCAAAAACAAGAAGUAUAAAUCAAGAAAUUAUCCACAAGAAAAGGUUUUAAGAGUUUACGAGUUCGGUCUUUUAGGUCAGAUUUUCUUGCAUCUCCAUCUGGGCCAACCUAAUUGCUGACCACCAAGAAAAACUGCCCUCAGACGCAGCAAAUUCGUAAUAACGUGUUACGAACAAAAUACAUCGAUAAAGCACUGAAAAUACACACCUGACUCUUCGAUGAGCUCAUCAAGAUUUGAUGGGAUUUUACCCAUAGACAAUCAAUUCAUUUGUCUGAAUCUCUUGUGUCCAAUGGACCCACUUAGGGCCGCAUCUCAUUCUCAAGACAUUUUUCCAAUCAAGUAAGUGCCUUAAACUGAAUAUGUCUUAUUUCCAAACUAGAUUCUUGUUUUGCAUUUAAUUUAAUCAUUCAACUUUAUGACAUAAAAACAUAGUCCACCCGUCUUAAAAAAUGGAUCCUAAGCUGAAUCAUUUUAUGGAAAUUUUAAUCUGUCUUAGUGGCUCAAGAGAAGAACCUAAGAACAAGUGUAAUCAGAUGCAUUAUCCAAUGGGAACGCAGACACUGACAAAUGGACCGCGUUAGCAGAAAGGAACCAAGCCACAUCAGCCAUUGACAAUUCAAUUGGGCAAUUCAAUCUUUGACAUGAAAACGGUUUUAAGGAGUUUUGUGCAAAUUCAUGUGAAUUUUCUGCAUAUUAUGAAGCAAUUUACUUUAAGUUUUCAAAGGGAUCCGCAGAAAUGUUCUCUCGUAAAAGUUUAUUGCCCGGUUAAAUUUAGCAAUAGCUGAUGUGGCUUGGUUUCUUUCUGCUAAAUACGGUCUAAGCACUUCCUGCGGUCAAGUAGCCGGAGAGUAUUCCUGAAAGUUUCAAUCUGGAAAAUAAAUUAGAACAGACUUAGAAGGGUGUCAAGUUGACACCUCCACGGUAUAUUUUCAGCCAGUCAACCAUCUGAGUUUUAGUUGGCGCCACAAUCUAGGAUCCACACUACCUGUAGUUAAAGAAGUGGUCGCGCAACAUCAGUUCCAAUGAUUCAUUAUGAAAAUGAGACAGUAUGGCAAGGAUCCAUUUUAAGCAUAUAUGUAGUGGAAAGUUUUCAGAAAUUUUUUCAGCCCUCAAAAGUCAGCACAGUAUGUCUCAUGACACGUGUCUGUCAUCUGUGUGUUUGUAUGUAACUUGAUUGUGUCUACUCACAUGUCUCCAUUAUUGUAAUUUUUAGGCUGUAAGUAUAUUCAAUUUUUGUGCUAAAUUUAUCUAUUACCAAGUGCCAUUAUAUGUUCGAUUUAUUGCCUUCUAAUUUAUCCUAAUGACUGCACCUGCAGUCUCAUCUAAAAUAUUUAAGUCAAGACUAAAAUUCUGCUUAUAUCUUGUAUUAUCAAAUUUGAAUGAAAUUAAUGGAAAGCUACCCCAGAUUGUUGUUGCAACCAAUUAUUAUCCGAUUGCAUAAAUAUUAAAUAUUGAAAAUUUUUUAACCGAAGAAUGAUUCAUCUCCUCAGAAUGCCUAUUUGCCAGUUAAUGCUAGUAAAAGGAGAGAACACAAACAAUAGGUUUGGUAAGAAUUCAAUUUUAUGAUAGGUUUAACCCUGUACUCUUUAAGUGAAUCCUCAUUAUGCCUUAUGUGACCUAUCAAAGCCUAUCUAAACUUUUAAUUAGAACCAUUAAAUUUCUUCCGGACAGUUCUUUCAAGUUUUUCACUACUAAAUCAUAUUUUUCUCUCCAGCUGCCUUUUCUAUUCUAUGAAUAUAAUCGUGUUGUCCCCAACUUUAAUUGUGUAUUUUUUAAUGUUUGCAUUUUUAUUUUUCUACAUUUCUUUUUAUUUCUCUACAUUACACGUUUAUUUUUUUCUACUUUAUAUGUUUUUAUGCUCAUUGUUCAUUUAUUCUUCUAUGUUACGUAUAAUGUUACCCAUGUUAAUUAAAAUUGUUCAAUUUCAAAACUGCUCUGAUUUUAUGCCCUCCUGAAACCUCAUCAUAUAAAUAGGAUAGUUCACGUUCUUGGAAAGUUCAAUGUCCCAUUAAUUUUUGCAGGAAUAACCUAACAACAUUCUGUUCUUCUUUAAUGACCGA
rnacentral:lncRNA from 1 species